rnacentral:lncRNA from 1 species
CCGCUGUCCAGUUUUACUGGGUUACAUGCUCAUACCAGUUAUUAUACCGCAUAACAAUUACGAAACACAACUUCAUAUCAGUGAAAAAAAUAAUAGCUUCUUUUGCAUAUUUAUUUACAUUUAGCUGGCCUCUUUUCUCCAAACUCACUCAUGCAGGUUAGCCUGUGUACAAUGAUUUACCCAUUUGUAUAGCUGGGUGUUUUUCAUUGGAGCCCAUCGGGGUAAAUACCUUGUUCAGGGGCUUUACAGCUGCUGCUGGCAUUCAGAGCCGGGUCCUGCGAGCGUAAGGCACCUGCUCUAACCACUGCGCCCCCUGCAGUCGCCCGUGUCGACAACUAGACAUCUUCGCUGCUCGCCUUCCAGAGGGCUUAGAGGUCAUCGUGAGUCUCACGUGACGCUUACCGCGGUCGAACUGAACGGUUACGCAAGUAACACUUAAAACAAACAAGCGACGUGCCAUAUGUGACACUCCACACGCUCGUUUGUCUUUUAAUCCUCGAGGGAUAAAAACAGCAGCAGCCGGGGCUGUUCUGCACUCGUGCGAAAAAGAGACCUUCCGCGUAGAUCAGCGGCACAAGGAGAUAAUCCUCCCGCCCCUUCGGGUUUGACACGUUUCCGUACGACGAGGCCUGGCUUUCCCGCGGCAAACGGCACGGCCGGCGGCCCUAGGUAUCGGACCCUCAAAAGCCCAAGUCCAUCGAAGAAAACUCCAUCAGGCAGUCCACGGUCUCGGCUCCCUCUGUCCUCGGGCCUGAGUCAAACCCGCACGCCGCUGAGCUGCGGGGCUGUUCUGUCAGCGUGUCGGGCCGCUGGGAAGCUGCGCUCCCUGGCUGUUUCCAUGGCGACGCACAGAAUUUCUACUUUCUCUUCAUCUCUGGAAUCAUCAGAGAGGCUGAGACAGGAGACCCGAGCGCAGGGUCCAUUCGACCACUGCAUCGCACAGCAGAAACAGGCCCAACAACCCCAUGGGUGCCCACGACACCCUGCACCUACGGCUAGCCAUUCGCGCCUCGGAGGCUAAAUAAAUAUCGAAAUAAAUAAAUCUGAAUUGGCUGUGUCA